rnacentral:rRNA from 1 species
UACGAAGGGGGCUAGCGUUGUUCGGAAUUACUGGGCGUAAAGCGCGCGCAGGCGGUUCUUCAAGUCAGUGGUGAAAGCCCGGAGCUCAACUCCGGGUCUGCCGCGGAUACUGCGAGGCUUGAGUGCUGUAGAGGGGGGUAGAAUGCCGGGUGUAGCGGUGGAAUGCGUAGAGAUCCGGCAGAAGACCGGUGGCGAAGGCGGCCCCCUGGGCAGUAACUGACACUGAGGCGCGACAGCGUGGGGAGCAAACAGG